CUAGACACAUGGGACCAACACGUGUUUAUAUUUUAGAAAUGGUUGCAUGUUUAUAUUUUUGUUCAGUAUACAUUCAGAACUACACAAUGAGGGAAUGUGAACAACCCCCAGAGUACAAUGACACCUGGUAGCCGACCAGGUCAGAGUAGGUAGACUAAAAUGCUGCUAGAGUAUACAGUAUAUGUAUCGCCUAGUAGUCUGUAUAGAAACCAACGUGCGCAAGCAACUAUGGGGAAAAACAGCCGGGUUUGGCUUAGAUUGUCAUGUUAAAAUAAUGGGCAUCAUGCCAGAGAUGGCGCUAGUGGAGGACCUAUCUAGGAUAUAUACAUAGGUGCGUUAUGAGUUUCUGAUUAGGAUAUCGUAACAUGUAAUACCCGAGUAAAGGAUUAAGCUUGCAUUUUACCAAACUUUCCGACGUGAGUUAUUCACAUAACAUGGAAAUGAACCCAAAGCCAGGCGCUACGGAAAAGGACACGAUUUGUGGACAAUGUAAUCGCUGUUGGAUAAAGGCAAACCAGUGGAAGAAUUGAGCGAGGACGAAGAGACUUCAAUAUCUGUCAAAUUCCGAUGCCAAGGACAUGAAAGGGAUGCCACAUGGAGUCUUGGCACACGCAUAGGGCACAUCAGCGCAAGGUCAUAUGAAGUGGAAGUAAAGGGACGAAAGUAUCGAAAGAACCAGAAGGACAUACGCCCAGCUCAGAAGAGCAUAGGGCACAGGAGGGCUACAUGGGAAGACUGUGAAUAUCCUCUGGAUGGUGUGGGCAGGACACAUAAUGAGGAGACGGGGGAAGACCCCACCAGGGCAGUUAUCUCUGCCGACCGUGCCUCCACAACUUUAGGAAUAUGUGGAAGAGGAAGGAGAGGCCCUGAGGCUCCCAGAGGUGCCAGGAGAAAACCUGAGGAUCCCAGAGGUGCCCAACGUCCCAGAGGAGCUAGGAGAGGAACUGAGGAUCCCAGAGGUGCCCAACAUCCCAGAGGUGCCAGGAGAGGACCUGAGGAUCCCAGAGGUGCACAAUGUCCCAGAGGUGCCAGGAGAGGACCUGAGGAUCCCAGAGAUGCCAGGAGAGGACCUGAGGAUCCCAGAGGUGCCCAAUAUGCUACCAGUGUGACACACUUGACUAGGACAAAGGCCCCUGCGGUACGGGCACUAUCUCCCUUAAGAGAUGGACAAUAUAUUUUUUUACCUUAUAAAAAACAAGGUGUUUGAUUAUGUAAAUACGUAUUUUCACAGUGGUAAAAAUGGUAUGAAGUGCUCAAGCUAAUUAUUUAUGAAAAGGAAGAUGUUAAGAUAAUGGGUAUAAUGCCAACCCAGAGAUGGUGCUAGUGGGGCACCUAUCUAGGAUAUAUAAACAGGUGCAUUAUGAGUGUCUGAUUAGGAUGUCGUAACCUGUAACAUGUAAUACCUGAAUAAAGGAUUAUGCUUGCAUUUUA